rnacentral:rRNA from 1 species
UACGUAGGGUGCGAGCGUUUGUCCGGAAUUAUUGGGCGUAAAGGGCUCGUAGGCGGUCUGUCACGUCGGGAGUGAAAACACGGGGCUUAACCCCGUGCCUGCUUCCGAUACGGGCAGACUAGAGUGCGGUAGGGGAGAUUGGAAUUCCUGGUGUAGCGGUGGAAUGCGCAGAUAUCAGGAGGAACACCGAUGGCGAAAGGCAGAUCUCUGGGCCGUAACUGACGCUGAGGAGCGAAAGCAUGGGGGAGCGAACGG